GUCUACAGCCAUGCUACCCUGAACAAGCCUGAUUCCUGAUCUAGGAAGCUAAGCAGAGUCAGGCCUGGUUAGUAUUUGGAUGGGAGACCACCUAGGAAGACCAGGUGCUGUAGGCG
rnacentral:rRNA from 1 species